GUAAAUUUAAAUGAAUGAAGUGAAACAUUGGAAUAGGCAAUAUAAAAAGGAAAAAUCAUUAAUGAAAUUAUCAAUAAAAUUUUUUUGCAAAAAUAAAAAAAAAUGGUAUAUUACUACUGUAGUUCAGUGAAAAUUCAACAAUGAAAGGUUGGGGUUUAUGGUUUGAGUUAGGGUUUAGGAUUCAGUCCGACCUGGGGUUAAUCAAUUAGUAACAUUUUUCUACAGCAAAUGAAUAACAAAAUCAGAUUCAGUGUGAAAAAUUACAUCAGUAUACCAAAUUUGA